UAUUAUAGACAACAUGAUAAUUAAAAAGCAAGAAAAUUAAAUCUAUGCAUGGCACCAUCCAUGACACGAGUCUGAAGAUCGCUGCUGCCAGUAUCUCCUGUCUACUGCCAUGCUUAGCAUUCUGCUGUGUUUUUAUCCUUUUAAUCGGCCAGUAGGCUUCCAUUAACCGUUCUUGCAGUCCUUCACACUCUUUUAGCCAACUGUCUACACUCCCACCAGACCUCUACCUUAAGUAGAAGUUAUUGUCUAUUGUUGGCUAGCUGGGAACCAAGCUACACCAACAUGGAGCUGGAUCACCGCAGUCAGGCCAUCUGGGUCUGUUGCCGAACAACUGUUCAUCAGACCACAUUAAGAUGAUAUUCAGCUUUACAUCUCCAUUAAGCCUGACGCCUGUCAUCAGCUGGUGAAGCUGGAAGAAUGCCUAUUAAAAAUCAAACAAUGGAUGUCAUCUAAUUUCCUCCUUCUGAAUGCUGAGAAAACUGAAAUGUUAGUUCUUGGUCCAAAGCAGAUUAUAAAACAAAUACAAUGAUCUCACUCUGAAUUUAGCUGGUUCCACAAUUUCACAAAACCCUUGUAUUAGAAAUCUCAGUGUCCUAUUUGAUCCUAAUCUCUCCUUUGGAAAACAUAUCAACAAUAUUACAAAGACUGCAUAUUUCCAUGCAUGAAAUAUUACCAAGAUUUGUCCCAUUCUUUCCACUUAUUCAUGCAUUUGUCUCAUUUAGGCUUGACUAUUCUGACACCCCUUUCUCUGGCUUACCUAAAUCAAAAUUAGAUUACAACUUGUACAAAAUACUGCUGCUAAGAUAUUAACCAAAACUAGAAAAUUUGACAAAAUUACCCCUGUUCUUGUUUCAUUACAACGGCUCCCUGUACAUGCUAGAUCUGACUUCAAGAUUCUACCUUUAACUCAUAAAAUAUUACAUGGACUUGCGCUAUCCUACUUAUCACCUCUAAUCACUCCUCAUAUACCUGCUAGGGCUCAAUGAUCAGAAAAUGCUGGUCUCCUGACUACUUAAAAAAUAAAUAAAACAUCAGUAGGUUGCAGGGCCUUCUCUUACUAAGCCCCUGUUCCUUAGAAUUGUCUUCCUAUCCAAAUAUGAGAGGCUAGCUCAGUUGAUUCAUCAAAAGUAAACUCAAAACACUAUUUGUCUAUUUGCAUCAGCCUUAAACCUCACUUAGUCUUCCUUUAGUACUAAAUUAUGGUUAUCCAGCUUAUAUUCAGUUCUAGGUGUGCAUGGUUACAUAUUUGUACGUAAAUGUGUAUGUUACACAUUUCUGUAUGUGUGUUUUCAUCUGUAUCCAGGUGUGAAUGUACAUGAGUUUUAUGUGCAUAUUGUAUAUUGCUGUAUUUUACUUUACUUUUUUCUUUUAAAUAUUUUUGUAAGUAUU